rnacentral:rRNA from 1 species
UACGGGGGGAGCAAGCGUUGUUCGGAUUUACUGGGCGUAAAGGGCGGGUAGGCGGCCACCGCAAGUCAGUUGUGAAAUCUCCGGGCUUAACCCGGAAAGGUCAACUGAUACUGCGGGGCUAGAGUGCAGACGGGGCAACUGGAAUUCUCGGUGUAGCGGUGAAAUGCGUAGAUAUCGAGAGGAACACCUGCGGCGAAGGCGGGUUGCUGGGCUGACACUGACGCUGAACUGCGAAAGCUAGGGGAGCGAACGGG